rnacentral:rRNA from 1 species
GGUGAUGAGUCCUGUACGUGAAGGUGUGUGUGGUUGUGUUGUUUGUGUUUUCCCGAGUAGCAGCGGGCUCGUGGAAUCUGCUGUGAAUCUGCCGGGACCACCCGGUAAGCCUAAAUACUCAGUGUGACCGAUAGUGAAUGAAGUACCGUGAGGGAAUGGUGAAAAGUACCCCGGGAGGGGAGUGAAAGAGUUCCUGAAACCAUGCGCUUACAAUCCGUCAGAGCACGUUUGUGUGUGUGAUGGCGUGCCUUUUGAAGAAUGAGCCUGCGAG